UAGCUCGUCAGCACCUGCGU
rnacentral:misc_RNA from 1 species